GUGGUUGAAAUGAUAUGAAGAACUUGUUCAGAUUUGAUUUCAACAUUGCAAUGAGUGGCGAACGGGUGAGUAACACGUGGGAAACCUACCUCUUAGCAGGGGAUAACAUUGGAAACAAAUGCUAAUACCGUAUAAUAAUUAAAACCGCAUGGUUUUAGUUUAAAAGAUGGUCUUGCUAUCACUAAGAGAUGGUCCCGCGGUGUAUUAGUUAGUUGGUGAGGUAAUGGCUCACCAAGACAAUGAUACAUAGCCGAGUUGAGAGACUGACCGGCCACAAUGGGACUGAGACACGGCCCAUACUCCUACGGGAGGCAGCAGUAGGGAAUCUUCCACAAUGGACGAAAGUCUGAUGGAGCAACGCCGCGUGUGUGAUGAAGGGUUUCGGCUCGUAAAACACUGUUGUAAGAGAAGAAUGACAUUGAGAGUAACUGUUCAAUGUGUGACGGUAUCUUACCAGAAAGGAACGGCUAAAUACGUG
rnacentral:rRNA from 1 species